rnacentral:rRNA from 1 species
CCUACGGGUGGCUGCAGUGAGGAAUAUUGGUCAAUGGGCGUAAGCCUGAACCAGCCAAGUCGCGUGAGGGAUGAAGGUUCUAUGGAUCGUAAACCUCUUUUAUAAGGGAAUAAAGUGUGGGACGUGUCCUAUUUUGUAUGUACCUUAUGAAUAAGGAUCGGCUAACUCCGUGCCAGCAGCCGCGGUAAUACGGAGGAUCCGAGCGUUAUCCGGAUUUAUUGGGUUUAAAGGGUGCGUAGGCGGCCUUAUAAGUCAGCGGUGAAAGUCUGUGGCUCAACCAUGGAAUUGCCUUUGAAACUGGGGGGCUUGAGUGUGUUUGAGGCAGGCGGAAUGCGUGGUGUAGCGGUGAAAUGCGUAGAUAUCACGCAGAACACCGAUUGCGAAGGCAGCCUGCCAAGCCAUGACUGACGCUGAUGCACGAAAGCGUGGGGAUCAAACAGGAUUAGAUACCCCUGUAGUC